UCUCUCUCUCUCUCUCUCUCUCUCUCUCUCUCUCUCUCUUAUAUAUAUAUAUAUAUUGUUUUUCAAGGAGCUGUUAAAUUUUCUUCCAUUGUCGAUUAAAUCAUCUAAUAGCCUUUCCUUAGUGUCCUUUUCAUAUUGCUCUCUCUCUCCCUCUCUCUCUCUCUCUCUCUCUCUCUCUCUUAUAUAUAUAUUGUUUUUCAAGGAGCUGUUAAAUUUUCUCCCAAUGUCGAUUAAAUCAUCUAAUA
rnacentral:lncRNA from 1 species